rnacentral:rRNA from 1 species
AUUGAACGCUGGCGGCAGGCUUAACACAUGCAAGUCGAACGAGUUGCGGACGGGUGAGUUAAUUCUUGGAAACUUCCUGAUUGAGGGGGAUUACUCCUUGAAACGGUAGCUUAUACCCCAUACUAUAUGAUGUGCCCAGAUGGGAUUAGCUAGUAGGGGGGGUAAAGGCUCACCUAGGCGACGCUCCCUAGCGGGGCUGAGAGGAUGACCAGCCACACUGGAACGGAGACACGGUCCAGACUCCUACGGGAGGCAGCAGUGGGGAAUCUUGCACAAUGGGCGCAAGCCGGAUACAGCCAUGCCGCGUGUAUUAAGAAGGCCUUCGGGUGGUAAAGUACUUUCGGCGGGGAGGCGUUACCCGAAGAAGAAGCACCGGCUAACUCCGUGCCAGCAGCCGCGGUAAUAC